CUUUUUCAGACUGUAACUAAACUGAACUCAAGUUGGGAUCAAAAAUGUUCUUUUAUUAAAACCAGUAAAACAUUCAGCUGAACUGGUUGUGGUUUUUAAAUAAUAGAAUAUAUAAAUAAAGAAUAUUUCCAUUUCCAUAUUCAGAACAAUUAUGAUUUCUGAAGUUCAGCCCUGGUCUAAAAAGACUGUUUAUCUUAAGAUUGUAAUUAAAUGUUUUGGCCCCUAGGUGGAGCUGGUAGGUAAACAUUAUCGGGUCCAGAGCAGUUCUCACCUGUGGUUCCAGAUGUUGGAGAACCAGUCUCCCCAGCACCUUCAUGAUGUGUGCUGUGAAGGAGACCCGUCUAAAGCGGGUCAGGCCAGAUGUAUCGGCGUUCUUCGGUACCGACACGACACAGGGUGUUGUCCCGGCAGUCCAGACAUCCUCUCCUGCAGUAGACUGAGGUUAAAGAUGACCUUCAGCUCCAGUCUCUAAAGUCAGCAUCUCUCAGGAAGAAAACAGGAUCGUCUGCAGCUCAGAGGGGAUCUACCCUGAACCUGAACUCAGCUGGUCCACCAUCCCUCCAUCCAACACCACCCUGCAGAACAGAACCACAGUCCAGAGGACUGUAGAGAAGCUUUACAGCAUCAGCAGCUCUCUGAUGGUUUCAGAUGAUGAUCCUGGUCUGACCUACAGCUGCACCAUCAGAACUCAGAGGAACAACAUGACAGCCACUAUUAGUAAAAAAUAAAUACAUAAAUAAUAAAUAAACUGAACUGAAUUAAAAACUGAAUUCAAUUCAGUUUUUAUUAAAUCUAAAUCCAUGUUUGAUGAAUGAAUCAUUUUAAUAACUCCUCAUUUUAACCACGACUUUAACUUCAAAACUCAACACAUCUAAAAAUGAUUUUCUGCUCGGAUGCCAGAUGUCGUCUUUCUCAUGUUCUAAAGUUAUUUAUGUAACAGGGGGAAGAUCUAGGAAUCCAGGUUCUGUAGAGCAGCUUCUAGUUCUGUGGACUUCAUGAGGAGCUGCAGGGUGAAGGUUUUACCUCCACAGCCCUAAACAUGAUGAAAAUCUAUGAUCUGACCUCAGCAGAGCAGAGCUGUAAGAUGAGCCACAGAUCCAACAGAACCAGAACCGUUCUACAGGAAGAACAGAGAAAAUCCUCCAAACAAGAUCUUAAAGUCUCUGAGCUGCUACAGAAAGUGUUUCUAAUGCUAUCAAAGGAGUUGCUGGAGAAGAAGAAACUUUAUCUUUACCAAAUUUAUAUUUUACCGUCAGAAAGAAGGAAAUAAAUAAUAUUUUAUUAAAAAUCAUCAAGAAAAGC